rnacentral:rRNA from 1 species
AUUGAACGCUGGCGGCAGGCCUAACACAUGCAAGUCGAACGGUAGCACAGAGGAGCUUGCUCCUUGGGUGACGAGUGGCGGACGGGUGAGUAAUGUCUGGGGAUCUGCCCGAUGGAGGGGGAUAACUACUGGAAACGGUAGCUAAUACCGCAUAACGUCGCAAGACCAAAGUGGGGGACCUUCGGGCCUCACACCAUCGGAUGAACCCAGAUGGGAUUAGCUAGUAGGUGGGGUAACGGCUCACCUAGGCGACGAUCCCUAGCUGGUCUGAGAGGAUGAC